rnacentral:rRNA from 1 species
CGUCCAGCCCGCUCAGAAACUACAAAGGAAUUGACGGGGCCCGCACAAGCGGUGGAGCAUGUGGUUAAUUCGAAGCAACGCGAAGAACCUUACCAGGCCUUGACAUGCAGAGAACUUUCCAGAGAUGGAUUGGUGCCUUCGGGAACUCUGACACAGGUGCUGCAUGGCUGUCGUCAGCUCGUGUCAUGAGAUGUUGGGUUAAGUCCCGUAACGAGCGCAACCCUUGUCCUUAGUUACCAGCACGUUAUGGUGGGCACUCUAAGGAGACUGCCGGUGACAAACCGGAGGAAGGUGGGGAUGACGUCAAGUCAUCAUGGCCCUUACGGCCUGGGCUACACACGUGCUACAAUGGUCGGUACAAAGGGUUGCCAAGCCGCGAGGUGGAGCUAAUCCCAUAAAACCGAUCGUAGUCCGGAUCGCAGUCUGCAACUCGACUGCGUGAAGUCGGAAUCGCUAGUAAUCGUGAAUCAGAAUGUCACGGUGAAUACGUUCCCGGGCCUU